rnacentral:rRNA from 1 species
CCAUGCCGCGUGUCUGAAGAAGGCCUUCGGGUGUAAAGGACUUUGUCAGGGAGCAAAACUUACUGGUUAAUACCCGGUGAGGCUGAGAGUACCUGAAGAAUAAGCACCGGCUAACUACGUGCCAGCAGCCGCGGUAAUACGUAGGGUGCAAGCGUUAAUCGGAAUUACUGGGCGUAAAGCGUGCGCAGGCGGACUUUUAAGCCAGAUGUGAAAGCCCCGAGCUUAACUUGGGAAUUGCGUUUGGAACUGGGAGUCUAGAGUCUGUCAGAGGGGGAUGGAAUUCCACGUGUAGCAGUGAAAUGCGUAGAGAUGUGGAGGAACACCGAUGGCGAAGGCAGUCCCCUGGGAUAAGACUGACGCUCAUGCACGAAAGCGUGGGGAGCAAACAGGAUUAGAUACCCUGGUAGUCCACGCCCUAAACGAUGUCUACUAGUUGUUGGGGUAGCAAUACCUCAGUGACGCAGCUAACGCGUGAAGUAGACCGCCUGGGGAGUACGGUCGCAAGAUUAAAACUCAAAGGAAUUGACGGGGAA